GGUUUGAUCAUGGCUCAGAACGUACGCUGGCGGCACGCCUAACACAUGCAAGUCGAACGAAGUAGCAAUACUUAGUGGCAGACGGGUGAGUAACAUGUGGGUAUCUGCCCUUUGGCCUGGAAUAACACGAGGAAACUUGUGCUAAUACCGGAUAAGUCUUUACAGAGAAAGCUUUAUGCACCAUUGGAUGAGCCCGCACUUGAUUAGUUUGUUGGUAGGGUAAUGGCCUACCAAGACUGUGAUCAAUAGCUGAUUUGAGAGGAUGAUCAGCCACAUUGGGACUGAGACACGGCCCAAACUCCUACGGGAGGCAGCAGUGGGGAAUCUUGCACAAUGGAGGAAACUCUGAUGCAGCGAUGCCGCGUGAGUGAAGAAGGCCCUUGGGUUGUAAAGCUCUUUCGUCGGGGAAGAAAAUGACUGUACCCGAAUAAGAAGGUCCGGCUAACUUCGUGCCAGCAGCCGCGGUAAUACGAAGGGACCUAGCGUAGUUCGGAAUUACUGGGCAUAAAGAGUUCGUAGGUGGUUGAAAAAGUUGGUGGUGAAAUCCCAGAGCUUAACUCUGGAACUGCCAUCAAAACUUUUCAGCUAGAGUUUGAUAGAGGAAAGCAGAAUUUCUAGUGUAGAGGUGAAAUUCGUAGAUAUUAGAAAGAAUACCAAUUGCGAAGGCAGCUUUCUGGAUCAUUACUGACACUGAGGAACGAAAGCAUGGGUAGCGAAGAGGAUUAGAUACCCUCGUAGUCCAUGCCGUAAACGAUGUGUGUUAGACGUUGGAAAUUUAUUUUCAGUGUCGCAGCGAAAGCGAUAAACACACCGCCUGGGGAGUACGACCGCAAGGUUAAAACUCAAAUGAAUUGACGGGGACCCGCACAAGUAGUGGAGCAU
rnacentral:rRNA from 1 species